rnacentral:rRNA from 1 species
UACGUAGGGUGCAAGCGUUGUCCGGAAUUAUUGGGCAUAAAGAGCUCGUAGGCGGUUUGUCGCGUCUGCUGUGAAAACGCGAGGCUCAACCUCGCGCCUGCAGUGGGUACGGGCAGACUAGAGUGCGGUAGGGGAGAUUGGAAUUCCUGGUGUAGCGGUGGAAUGCGCAGAUAUCAGGAGGAACACCGAUGGCGAAGGCAGAUCUCUGGGCCGUAACUGACGCUGAGGAGCGAAAGCGUGGGGAGCGAACAGG